rnacentral:rRNA from 1 species
GACGUAGGGCGCGAGCGUUUGUCCGGAUUUAUUGGGCGUAAAGAGCUCGUAGGCGGCUUGUUGCGUCGACUGUGAAAACCCGCGGCUUAACCGCGGGCUUGCAGUUGAUACGGGCAGGCUAGAGUUCGGUAGGGGAGACUGGAAUUCCUGGUGUAGCGGUGAAAUGCGCAGAUAUCAGGAGGAACACCGGUGGCGAAGGCGGGUCUCUGGGCCGAUACUGACGCUGAGGAGCGAAAGCGUGGGGGAGCGAACAGG